CAUUUGGAUUGGGGCCUAGUUUGGAGCUUCUAAGAGGUUAGUAACUGGAUCCUUUCCUCUAGAUCUAGUUUUUGUUGGAUUUUACUAGAUCAAACCCUAGAUUUUGGAUUUUAGGGUUAAAUUUGGGGAUUUUCGUUUUGAGGGUUUUUGUACCAAAUUGAUGGGUUUAGAACCUUUGUUUAGGUUAGAUUGGAAGGACUCUAGCUCCCAUUUGGAGAUUGGGAGAGCUUCCUUCGCAAUCGAUGAGUUUUUCGUCAACCCUAGCCCUAUAUGCUUAAUGAUUGAACUUAGCAUCGUUCGUUUCGACUAGAUGACACUUGUUCUCGUACCUUUAGGGUACUAGGAGUGCGGUGGACGCCUUCGUCGUGACAAACGAGAGCCUUCGUUGACGACGGUGGGUUUGGCUUCCUUGAAAUUGGAGGAAAUUCCUCCUAAGUGGUUAAAUGCUUUCAUUCUCUUCAAAUUCAUGCAUAUUCAUGUUUAGUAGCAUUUAUGGGAAUUUUGAAUGCUUGGAACUCAUAUGUUAUGCAUCAAGAAAGCUACUCUAUAUAGUAGAGAGACAAAUGUGCUUUGUUAUUAUGCAUGCGACGCAUAUUCUACGAGAUGAAAGGAAAUAAAGUUUCAUACUUCGAUUUUGACUAGAAAUUAUAAGUUCUUGAACUUAGUAUCCAUGUUGGGACAAAAUGAGCCAUAGUGUCAUAAAGAGGCACUUGGACUAGAGAAUUAUUAAACUGCAACAUAGAGACUUGAUAAUAGGCCACAUUGACAACAACUAUAUUCCAUAUUUGAGAUAUGAUGAAAUAGUGACUUGGCCACGAGGACAUUUGCUAUAUACCAUGUUACUGAACAUGAGGAUUUGGUACUUGCGACUGAUCGUUUGAUUACUUGCCAUUGUGCUCAUUCGCACAUGCUUGUGAGGGUCGCUCCCUACAAGCCGGCACUCCGGAGAUGGCCAUCGCGAUACAUAUUCGCCGUGCGGGAUUGGGCGCCGAAGUGGAUUGCCGUGGGCCAGGCUCAUUCCUAGGGUGGGGAUGAUGACUACCACGGGGCCAUUAGGCUCGGCACCGGCCAGACAGCCUACGGGUGGGUCUCAGGGCCAUAGACAGCCUUCGGGUGGGUCUCUUCAGAUUUGACUUGAGUAUUCAUCAUGACAUGUGGACAGAUGAUGACUUAGAGUAUUAUUUGGACAUUGACUAGAAUAGUAAACAACGGAACUUUACUAUUUUGCAUCGUGAACAUUAUGACAGUUGGAGACAUUUUACUUCAUGCAUAGUUGUUUUCAUACUUAUGCUAUUUGUACUAAGUAGAGAUAUCAUGUUGUAGUAAGUUACACAUUUAUUUGCCUUUCGCUUUCCUACGUUAUAGUCACUGACAUCUAUUGUAGCUUUGGGCCUUGUGGCGCAUUCACUGAAGUCAGUAAUUGCCCACUGGGAACUAUUCUUAAUAGUUCUCACGCCCCUGUUUCUAUGUUUCCUUUUCAGAGCCUUCGGCACCGGCGGAGGCACGGGAUCGCGGCAAGGGGAUCGCUUAGCUAGCUAGCGAGGAGCGAUACUUUGCCUAGGUGGUUACUCUUUCUUUUAUUUUUGAGAGAGUGUGAGAUUUUUGUAUCCGUGUAUAGAGACCACCUAUGUACCUACCUAUAGCACUUGUAUUUGGGAUUUCCUAUUGUAUUUACUUUAUGUCUUAUUUAGCGAAUUUACAGUUUCAUCCUUAUCUCUUGUUGUAGCAUUUAGACAUUUAUUACGCUCUGAUACACCUAGAUGUCUAUUAUUAUGGCUUUAUUAUUGUUGUUCUUAGACGCCUUAUAUGUUGUAGACAUAUGGCGGGUCUGGGCACGCGCCGGGCGGGCUUCCGCUGGGUCCCGCGGCGUGACACAGAGACAUUCUCAUUGAGCUCUA
rnacentral:lncRNA from 1 species